UCUGCUCCAUGAAAAUUUUUAAAUAGCUGCAGAAUAUUAACUGUACAAAGGUAGCAUAAUCAAUAGUUUUUUAAUUGAAAGCUGGAAUGAAUGAUCUGAUAAGGUAAAAAUUGUCUCAAAUUUAAUAGUAAUAGAAUUUUUUUUUUAGUAAAAAUACUAAAAUGAUUUUGAAAGACGAGAAGACCCUAUAGAUUUUUAUAUUUUAGGUUAAUUAAAUUUAAAUUUAUUAAUAGUUUUUAAAUAAAAAGUAUUUGGUUGGGGAAAUUAUUAAAUUUAAUAAAUUUUAAUAAUUAUAAACAAUAAUAAUUGAUAUUUUGAUCUUUGAUAUAAAUUAAAAGAUUAAAUUACCUUAGGGAUAACAGCGUAAUUUUUUUGGAGAGAUCAUAUUGAUAAAAAAGUUUGCGACCUCGAUGUUGAAUUAAGAUAAAAUUUUAAUGUAGAAGUUAAAAAAUUUUGGUCUG
rnacentral:rRNA from 1 species